UGCUGGUAAAAUGAAAACAGGCUCGUCCAUCCCAGCACGGAUAUCCAUCCCUCCCUUUUUCCCUUUCUUAACCUCUCCAGGGAUCGGAGAUAGUCAUUUAUAGUCGUUUUUCAUCCGUGAGGUCUGGACACACUCAUCUUCCCGUCUCUCUUCACUCCAACGCGACCUGCAAGAGCUGAAGCUCAAAACGCAGUGGAACAGUAAAAAAAAAAUGGAUUAAAGAAAAACUGGCCUGGACGAAGGUCUAAAUUUAAAGAAAUGUAAAUAAACAAACAAACAAAAAAAAACAGUAAAAGUUUACUCUCUGAGGCCACGCUAGAGCUCGAAGCUAUUGAGUGAAUGCUAACCUGGAGAGUAACAACUACUAUACUGUGUGUUAGCGAGUAAAACUCAUUAGGUUUUCUAGCAUUGAGAAUAAACUCUAACUUAGCAAGUGACAACUAACUUAUAAACAAAUUAAAAGCCAAUCUAGAAAGUGGAAGCUAAUCUAACGAACGAUGAUAAACCUAGCAAGUGAGAGCUAACUUUACAAGCAAAAUGUACUCUACUGAAAGAAAUCAAACUUAAGAACUGAAAGCUAGCCUAGCAGUAGUGAAUGAAAGCUAACCUAGCAAAUUAAAGCUAAGAUAGCUACUUAAAAAUAACAGCAAUGUGUUCCAGUGGUUCACGAAAUCUGACGAGGACUUUAAAUGAUCUAAAUGUAGCUGUCUAACAUGUGCUGAUUAGCUUAGCUAACUACUGUAAUGCUAGCAUGAUGCUGUAUUUCUGUGACACUUGUAAGACGAUGACGAAGACAAUCUUCCUUGUCUGAUUGGCUAAUCACAACACUUCAUCACACGUUUGCAUGAAGGCUUGCGUUGUCUGGAAAAAUACCUGCAUUACGUCCGUAGGCGAGCGGAUUUUGAGCACCAAUAUGGUCAUGUGACCUCGUGCAGGUGGCUAUGUGUAGUAUGAUGUCACCAGCAUGUCAUCAUCUCUAAUAAGGAAAUGUUUCAGCGAGAUGAAAGAUCAGGUUUUUUAAAUAUGUUUAGGAAGACAGGACUAAGUAGUGCGCACUAGAGGAGGGUUAAUGCCAUGCGCGGUCACCGUGCUGUGUUGUGUAUAAAGGUCAUGUCUUUUCUUUGAAUGGACGUCUGGUCUCUCGCCGGACCCUCAGAUCCAGUCUCUGGUGAGCCUCUUUCAGAAGUCAUGGCUCGAGGCGCCGAGCUCUGGAAAAGGCUUGCCGCGUCCCUCCUAAAUUAUUCAGAGGUGGAAAACAUUAAAAAAAGGAGAAGGGAGACUACUGAGGAAGCGGAGGGUUCAGGCCCGGCUCAGAUCACAGGGGGACUCCUGCUUAACCCGCCUUGAAGUAGUGAAUACAGUGAUACUGGGGUCUUUGUUGGGGUCUAGGAUGCGAGAAAAGAUCCGCGGAUCGAUACGGAGCCGUGCUGGAGGUCCGCGGGGAGCGACGCGCUCACUGAUCAGAGCGCAUUCCAGGCCUGGAGUGGACACGCUGAAACCGCUACACAGCACAAUAACAACACAACAACAACAUAACACAAUAACAACACAAUAACACAAUAACAACACAAUAACAACACCAAUACAGCACAGCACAACACAACACACACUUACUCACAUUCCCAAAUCCAGUACACCAUCCUAUUCACAGAAAAACUGACACAAUAUUUAACUGGAAUUCGUCUGAUCUCAUUUUAUACACUAAUCGUUCUUAAUCUUCAGGAUUUCAAACUCGGACUCGUAACGAAACUUCAAGCUGAGACUCGUCAAAACACGUUUACGUAAUAAAACACUGAAAUACUGAGUUACUGUUUCCACCCUGAGGAGUGUUUUAUUCCUUUUUGACCUCAGCACACAGCCAACAGCUACUUCAAGCACAAGUUUUUAUCCAUUUAUGAAUACAUUUAAAGUUUGUUCCUGUUUUCACUUGAGUUACAGCAGCCGUAAACCGUCAGUCAGAUUUUUUUGUCGUGUUUUUGUUGUUG
ensembl:lncRNA